rnacentral:rRNA from 1 species
UACAGAGGGUGCAAGCGUUAAUCGGAAUUACUGGGCGUAAAGCGUGCGUAGACGGUUAUGUAAGUCGGGUGUGAAAGCCCCGGGCUCAACCUGGGAAUGUCAUUCGAGACUGCAUAGCUAGGGUGCGGAAGAGGGAAGCGGAAUUUCAGGUGUAGCGGUGAAAUGCGUAGAUAUCUGAAGGAACACCAGUGGCGAAAGCGGCUUCCUGGUCCAGCACCGACGUUCAGGCACGAAAGCGUGGGGAGCAAACAGG